GGAGUGGUGUCCGAGCGGUUUAAGGAGGCGGUCUUGAAAACCGUUGUGCCGAAAGGCACCGGGGGUUCGAAUCCCCCCUACUCCG
rnacentral:tRNA from 1 species